GGGGAGGAGAUCCCCUAGACUGAGUGAAGGAGACAGAGAAGGACAGUGCCAUUCCUAGCCUCCCUUCAACAAUGGCUCUGCCUCUUAAGGUCCUCAGUCGGAGCAUGGCCAGCGCAUCCAAAGGAGACCACGGAGGCGCAGGAGCGUAGCUCUCUGCUCGCUUAACUGCUGGAUGCACGCUGGCCACCAUGAGCGCCCAGAAUUCAUCCCCUAUCACCACCUCCGCAUCCGAACCAAGCCCUUCUCCUGGGGGGAUGGGAACCACACGCUUUUCCACAAUCCCCACGUCAAUCCUUUGCCCACCGGCUACGAGCAGCCUUGAAGACUCAGCAGACGUACUCUGCCACAGUCUCCAAACUGACCUCCAUACCGGCUCUAAGGGCCCCUGAGGUUCCAGUGGACAGUUCCAAGCGCAAUAAAGGUGUGAAACUUU
rnacentral:lncRNA from 1 species